GCCCGGGUGGUGAAAUUGGUAGACACAAGGGAUUUAAAAUCCCUCGGCGGUAACGCCGUGCCGGUUCAAGUCCGGCCCCGGGCACCA
rnacentral:tRNA from 2 species